rnacentral:rRNA from 1 species
UACGGAGGAUGCAAGCGUUAUCCGGAAUGAUUGGGCGUAAAGCGUCCGCAGGUGGCUGUGUAAGUCUGCUGUCAAAGAGCGAAGCUCAACUUCGUAAAGGCAGUGGAAACUACACGGCUAGAGUGCGUUCGGGGCAGAGGGAAUUCCUGGUGUAGCGGUGAAAUGCGUAGAGAUCAGGAAGAACACCGGUGGCGAAGGCGGCAUUCUGGACUGCAACUGACACUGAUGAACGAAAGCCAGGGGAGCAAACGGG